rnacentral:rRNA from 1 species
AUACGGAGGAUCCGAGCGUUAUCCGGAUUUAUUGGGUUUAAAGGGUGCGCAGGCGGCCAUUUAAGUCAGCGGUUAAAUCGUGGGGCUCAACCCCAUUCUGCCGUUGAUACUGGGUGGCUUGAUUGCGGUCGAGGUUGGCGGAAUUCGUUGUGUAGCGGUGAAAUGCAUAGAUAUGACGAAGAACACCGAUUGCGUAGGCAGCUGACCAGACCGCAAAUGACGCUCAUGCACGAAAGUGCGGGGAUCGAACAGGAUUAGAUACCCUGGUAGUCCGCACAGUAAACGAUGAAUACUCGUUUUCGGCGAUAUAAUGUCGGAGGCAAAGCGAAAGCGAUAAGUAUUCCACCUGGGGAGUACGCCGGCAACGGUGAAACUCAAAGGAAUUGACGGGG